rnacentral:rRNA from 1 species
CCUACGGGAGGCAGCAGUAGGGAAUCUUUCACAAUGGGCGAAAGCCUGAUGGAGCAACGCCGCGUGCAGGAUGAAGGCCUUCGGGUUGUAAACUUCUUUUAUCAGCGAGAAAUAUGAUGGUAACUUAUGAAUAAGGCUCGGCUAGCUACGUGCCAGCCGCCGCGGUCAUACGUAGGAUCCGAGCAUUAUCCGGGGUUACUGGGUGUAAAGAGUGGGUUAGGGGGCAUAAUAAGUAGCUAGUGAAAUCGGGGGGCUUAAACAUUCAGACUAUUAGCUAAACUGUUAAGCUCGAGCCCGUUAGGGGUAACUGGAAUUUCUAGUGUAGGAGUGAAAUCCGUAGAUAUUAGAAGGAACACCAAUAGCGUAGGCAGGUCACUGGGAUGGGUCUGACACUAAGGCACGAAAGCGUAGGGAGCAAACGGGAUUAGAUACCCUAGUAGUC